UUGAAGUUAUUCGCCUCCGAGCAAGAGAAAUUGUUAGAGGAAGGAGGCACCCCAGUAAGACCAAGAACAGUUGAGGCAUAUGUUGAUACAAUACAAAAAUGUAGCCCAUGGCUUUUUAAAGACGAGUUAUUAAGUAUAUCAAUGGGACCAUCAUGGUAUCCUAUAGAAGGAUUUUUCUUCAACAAGAAAGAGAUGGCUAAUUCUGUUUACUACAUUUGUCUAAGAUCUUGGUUUUUACAGACAUCUGAUUAAUUUACAAAGCUAAAGUGUUAAAAUAUCAACCACUAAAUAUGAAAUCAAGUACUCUUUACUUAUUAAGUUCCAUAAGGUAAUAUAUUUAAACAUUAUGUGUGUUUUCAUAAAUUGGUAAAUGGAAAAAUGUUUAAUAUUGCUUUGUGUCUGUGUCUUUGCUAAAACAAGGUUACUAAGUGUUAAGAUUCUAUCAUGUGUAAUUUAUAUACAAAGAGUAGAAAAAUUUUCAGUUGGGUUUCAAUUAUAGUAUUAUAGUGUCAUAAGAAACAUGAAAGUCUUUCAUCUUAUUAAAGUGGAGUAAUCUGUCUAAAUCAGAAAUUUUAUAAGAGUUGUUUCAAAAUGUGAAUUUAUAAAAAGGGUUAACAGUUAAAAAAAAGAGAUAGAAAAAGAUUCAAGAUGUGGAAAUAUAUUUUAAUAUAAAAGGUUAAAGGAAAAAAUGUUUCUAGAUGAGAUAAUCUCUGUGUGGUAAAGUAAAAGGUUGUAAAAUGCCAUUUAAAAAGAUUUUGAGGAAACUAGACUUAAUUUAAAAGCUUGAGAAAGGAAGAAAGAAAAAAAAGGUAUUUGUACAUGGCAGAUUGAGACAAAGCUUCUCAAUGGAGUUAAAAAAAAAAAGCCUUUGGUUGAAGGGCAGCCAUGUAAACUAACAUUAAAGCGAUUUAAACAGAAUCUAAG
rnacentral:lncRNA from 1 species